rnacentral:rRNA from 1 species
CAGGUAGGUGGUCUCAUUUGUCUGGGGUGAAAGCCUUGGGCUUAACCCAAGAAGUGCCUCGGAAACGGUGAGACUAGAGUACUGGAGAGGGUCGUGGAAUUCCCGGUGUAGCGGUGAAAUGCGUAGAGAUCGGGAGGAACACCAGCGGCGAAGGCGGCGACCUGGACAGUUACUGACACUCAACUGCGAAAGCGUGGGGAGAACA